CUGCCAGGGGAGCCAGAGGCGGAAGCGGGGGUCCCGCGGGCUGGCAAUCAGGGGCUGCGUCUAGAAGGGGACGUGUUCGGAGAGGGCGGCGUGGAGUCCCAAGUGCCGACCCCGUCCGUGACCGCAGGCCCUGCACGUGCGCCCUGGCGCGGCCCGGGUGACAGGUGAGUUGGGACGGGAUGCGCUCUCGGUUCGGUCCCCCUGCCCCUCCCCAGCCCCUGGCCGGGCCGCGCCACCCGAAGGGGCGUCUGCGGUGAGGAGUGCGGUCUCGACGGAGCCCUGCUUGGAGGACUGAGGGGCUUCCUGGGGCGGGGCUGCAGUCUCUCCACUUCCACUUAGGUGGACAGAAUUUUCCACGCCGCCUGGGCGCUUUGGGAAGCGAUGUUCAGCUGUUUGGCCCGCAUCUGCACCUUUCAAGUUUCCAGGAGCCAUGCUGGAUUUAUGAAUGGGACAAGAGUGAUCAAGCUCAUUUUAGAACUUUUCUGGAAGACAUUUGUCGGUCAUUUUUAUCUUGAUCAACAUCCAUUAUAUUUUGUUCCUGAUAUUGGGUAGGUGGAGACCAAUGCUUCCUUUUUAUGGAACUGAGAUCUUAUGAAAGGAUAAAAAUAGGCCUGUCUUCUUUUGUCCUCUGAGGAGGGCACACCGGUUUGUCCCAGGACCAUUUAAUUCCAUUCAGAAUUCAGUUCUGUACUUAUUGGGUAAUUGGUAAAAUGAUACCAUGCUGCAUUUUUGAAACAUGUUGUCUUUUGUCUAGGAUUACUUUCCAAACUGAAAACCACAGUUCCAUAUUAAAUUCUUAAAAAUAAA